UAUGUUUGUGUAUAUGUUUGUGUAUGGUUGUGUAUGGUUGUGUAUGGUUGUGUAUGUUUGUGUAUGGUUGUGUAUGGUUGUGCAUUUAGAGACUAUUUGCACACUUUUUUGUUCAUAUAGUCUCUGACACGGUGCAGGUCACUUGGAUUUUUACAUUGUUUUAAACCUUGGCCAAUGCAAUAUUCUAUAUUUUUUUUACUUCUACAUAUCUACUUAUGUGCUGGACACAAAAUUCUCAUAUAUGUCGCGUCACUUAUGUUUCAUAUUCAUAAAUAUAAACACAUGUUGAUAAAAUAGAGAGAGAGAGAGGGAGACAACACUUAUUUUCUGAUAUAUUAAUAGAAAAACAAUUAUUAUUAUUACUGCUUGCCCAAUCCAAUGCAGAAUAUGCAAUGUACACUAUAUAAUUGUUUUUUAAAACUUGAUAUGGUUACCAUUUGUUAAUAUUCAUAAUUCUGUUUUAAUUUUCGGGGGCAGCAGUAUAAACGGAGGGUCCCAUACCUUGUUAAAGUGUUCUGACGUUGAGGCAAUGUUAUGUCAGUUAAGUUCUAGUAAAUUUCUUUUCACCUUUCACCUGUAUAAUUCCAGUGGCUCAAAAUACAUCUCUACUUUUUUUUUUUUUGGUAUCACUAAGCAUUACGUUAUUCAUUGUAUUAGAUCUAGUAGUUCAAAGAUAUUCAUUGGGGUAUUGUUUUUGAGAUUAUUUUGCUUAAGAAAAAAAUGCGUAUUUAUUCUUUAUUAAUACAUAUCCAUAAAAUAUAUAACAGCUUUACAUAUGCUGUUAUGAUAUAAUCUCUCUUUCUCGCUCUAGGGUAUCUAUCUAUCUAUCUAUCUAUCUAUCUAUCUAUCUAUCUAUC